CAUUACUGAGUUUACGCUCUAUAACCCUUUGUGAACAUACCUAUAACUGUUGCUUCGGCGGGUAGGGUCUCCGCGACCCUCCCGGCCUCCCGCCUCCGGGCGGGUCGGCGCCCGCCGGAGGAUAACCAAACUCUGAUUUAACGACGUUUCUUCUGAGUGGUACAAGCAAAUAAUCAAAACUUUUAACAACGGAUCUCUUGGUUCUGGCAUCGAUGAAGAACGCAGCGAAAUGCGAUAAGUAAUGUGAAUUGCAGAAUUCAGUGAAUCAUCGAAUCUUUGAACGCACAUUGCGCCCGCCAGCAUUCUGGCGGGCAUGCCUGUUCGAGCGUCAUUUCAACCCUCAAGCUCUGCUUGGUGUUGGGGCCCUACAGCUGAUGUAGGCCCUCAAAGGUAGUGGCGGACCCUCCCGGAGCCUCCUUUGCGUAGUAACUUUACGUCUCGCACUGGGAUCCGGAGGGACUCUUGCCGUAAAACCCCCCAAUUUUCCAAAGGUUGACCUCGGAUCAGG
rnacentral:rRNA from 1 species